GGAAGGAUGGCCGAGCGGCUGAAGGCGGCGGUUUGCUAAACCGUUAUACGAUUGAAAAGUCGUAUCGAGGGUUCGAAUCCCUCUCCUUCCA
rnacentral:tRNA from 1 species